rnacentral:rRNA from 1 species
CCCGUGCAGGAAAGAAGAAAGGUCAACGACGUGGAGCCGGAGGUGAAAGGGUGGAGCGCCGGCCCGGCCGCAGGUACCGUUGCGGCAGCGUGAGCGUGCCCGAGGACGAGCGCGGGGAAGCCUGCGGGGACGAGCGGGAAGGCGAGAACAGCGAGUAGGAGGAGGAGUGCGACGUGGAGGGCGGCGCGGUGGUGGGCCGGGGAGGCCCGGGGGAGUAGGAGGGGUGCGGGGAGGCGUGGUGGCGGUGGUGGCGGUGGUGGCGGCGGCGGCGGCGGCGGGUCGGAUUCGGGUUCCGGCUGGGGAGGAGGAGCAGCAGCGGGAGCGGCUGCUGCGAGAGCGUGCACCACAAGCCCCACCGGAGGAGGGCGGCGUGCGACGGCGACGCGGAGGGCGAGGAGGCGGAGACCGAGGCGGACGGGCGCGCGCGGAAGGAGAAGGAGCUGCGCGGCGGGGCGCGGCGGAGGCAGGGCCGCUUGGAGGUGGAGGCGCAGAGGGCGCUGCGGAGGGCGAAGGGGAUGAGGAUGGCCUUCCCGGAGGGGAGGCGCCAGGCGCAGCGCGCAUAGCGGUUCCUCGAGGAGGAGCUCGAGGCGGUCGUCGUCGUCGUGGUCAGCGGCGGCGGCUCCACCGAGCACGAGCGGCUGCUGCUGUGGCGGAAGCAGGAGGGGUUGGAGGAGGUGUGGGAGAGGUUCAUGCUGACCGUGCUCGGUACCAUGGAGCCGCGCGGAAGGCUCAGGCGGCGCGUCUUGCAGACCGUGCCGAAGUUGUACCGGAUACCGCCGCCGCCGUAGCGGUAGUCGACCGGGGAGCGUCGCGCGGACCGGGCGCACGAGCUGAGGACGUAGUAGUCCAUGGGGGUGGAGAUGCCGUCGCUGAGGUCCUAGAUGCGGACGGAGCGGCUCGAGCCGCAGCUCGAGUGGGUGCUCGGUCCUAAGGUGGUCUAGCUGGAAGUACCCCUAUAUAGACCUAAAGAUUCUCGUGUAGGAGAACGAGGAAAUCACAGUGAAGUGGUGGAACUAGUACAGAUAGGAGAAAUGGGACCUUACCUAGCACGUUUCCGCCAACUCGUAAACAAGGCUCGUCGAUUACGACUGGGUCGUUCCUAGGAAGUUGUUUGUCACACGAUACUGGUAAGUUCUAGUGAAUGACGAAGUCAUCGUACCCCGAUAAGACAAGUCCAAAAGUUUCCGUUACAUGACGAAGGACUGUAGGAACGACACGUUUUUUGGAAACACGGUACCUCUUCUCCAGCGUUACAAUGCCUACAAAAAUACAAAUCGUGGUUCGUAAUAGGUUCCCUGCUCACGUUUGCUCGACGAGAAAAGAAGGAUUUUUCAUAAAGAAGGCCGCUUCCGUUCUGCCUUUCGUUAAUGUCGUCCGUCGACGGGGUCUUUACGAACGGUUUGAACUAAGUCAACUCCUUAUACGUUGUUUAUUUUCACUCUAGUCUCCAUGACGUAGACCAAGGACCCUUCCGAAAUUCUGCUGUGACGACACUGUAGCAUGGAAGAAGUAGACUUUGGUGGUACCUAUAACUAUAGUCCUUUACGUUUCUGCCACUUAAUUAGCGUUACGUAAGCAUCACUAAGAACUUAUUAUAACCUAUGAGUAGACCUCAUCUAUUAAAUGUCGUACAAGAACUUGUGUGGAUUAAACGAAAACAAUAUAUAUAUGCCUGGUGUGACAGGGUGAAGUAAAACCCAGACAUCCAGAUACAUCUCAAUUGCGUUGUAUGACACUACGCAGUAAUGGGUUUCAUUAUAUCACUUAGUAAAAUAUAUGACAUUAACUGUACACAAGAUCGAACGCUAAAUAGAUCGUAGACAACUUCAUACUUCCGACGUGCAGUUCCUGUAGAUCUUCUAGAGGUUGACUUGUGUAUACUAUAUCAUCAACAAUCCCUCAUCAAUUUCCACCUAUUGGGUCCCCAAAACAGCCCAGGGCAACCCCUGACACAGGUGCAAGCUGACUCUCCUACCCUCCGCUGCAGGACCCGCCGCGGCGUUCCGGCGGACUGCGCGAUGGCGGCCCGCGCGUCGGCAGGCUGCGUGAAACCGGCGGUCAGCGCGCCGUCUGGGGUAGUGGAGGCGGCCACUAGAGUCUCCUAUAGUGGCCCCUACUACUCUAGGCCCAGUACCGCCUAGUCACCCACGAAACAAAGAGCCUAGGCUAGGCGCCUACCUAGCUCCCUGCCGAUGUCGUGAGAGGCAGUAGCGCGACCUGCAGUGAAGUACUAUACCUAUUGUUGUAGGAACGGCCGCUGAUGGACCGCCGCCUGCAAGUCUAGCUCCAUCCCUACGCAAAAUAAAAUCAACUGAAGCUACAGGUACACAACAGACAAAACGUCCUCCAAGUGUCUCUCCUCUAGCUUUACUAGCUAAACUGCUGCUGCGUGCUCCGCUACGCCCUCCGCGGGCGCCGGUAACGUGUCCAUGGGGUGGAAGGCUCGCUGGCCCCGCUGGCCCGCUGCGUUGGCGGGCUGGCCGCUCGCGGCCCUGGUACGUGAGCCCCCCGCCACCGAGCCCAGCCGCCGGCCAAAACCCGCGACCGGCCUCGGCUGCUCCUACUACGCCUGCCACUGCCACUGCUAGGCCUGCGAAGAGGUGGUUGCGGCUGGGGGAGGCUGGAUCAGACGCUUAAGAAGGUACGCCCGAUACUACUCCUGCUCCACCGGAGCUGCCACCUAUCUCACGACGGUCAACUUCUAGGCCGUUCCCACGCCGAAGGACGCCCUCUCUUCUUCCUCUACCAGGCCGCUCACCAAGUGGCAGCUUGCCGCCGCUGCCGCCAGGCUGGUACCUUCCCAGGGGAAGGUUUCCAAUAGAAGGCUCGAUGCCGCAACUAGGCAAGUACCAGUAAUGAGUGAGGCUACUUCCGGUCCCUCGUAAACCAAUGACCCAGAUGGGCCACCCUCUACCAACGAGCCCUAUAGAAGUUGGCCAAACCUACCGCCAGUACAUUAUCCUAUCCGUUAAUCAAAGGGAUAGAUAUAUCGGUCGGCCAACACCGAGGAAAUAACCGAUCAAUCACAAAGAUCGGAAGACGCCACACCCGACGAAAAAUAACAAAAGUCAAUCUCUGAUACCAUGAAACAUGCGUGAAAAACAACGAAGUAAUUAUUCUACCGACAUACGUAGUGAGGACUACGUCUCCGGCCCCUCAGGGGGAAAAGGUUUUUUUCCCUCAUCAAUUUCCAAAUAAGAGACAACAUUAAGAGGAGAUAGAGGAGGACAUUUAGAAGAAGGGUCAAUGUUGACUUUGGGGUGAUAUACG